CACUGACAUCAGUGAUUCGUUUUGCGAACCCUGACCCACUGCCAGAUAGGCAUUCAUUCCCAGCUCUUUCAUCUGCUGUUCGCCGAUGACGCGAGUCGUGAUGUUGCUGCUAAAAGCAUCGGCAAGCUGGCGAGCCUGCGAGGCAAGAUAGGCUGCGUUACAGAUAUUUGGCGGCAUAUUGCCAAGAUCUUUCGC
rfam:Dendroctonus ponderosae Seq01001872, whole genome shotgun sequence.